AGAGAGAACGCAAAUUAAGGUACUGUUAAUGCUAAUUAAGAGAACGCAAAUUAAGUUGGGGGAAAAUGGAAAUCUCAAGAAGCGUUGUGCGAGGGACGAUCUCACGAAGUUUGGUCUUCUUCAAGGUCACGACCCUCCCUCUCUCUGUCUCUAUCUUCUCGAAUGCUUCCAUGAUCGAUAUCUCUCAAUGGCUUCUUCUUCGAUCUUCUUCUGCUAAUCCGUGCGCGUGUGAGAGA
rnacentral:lncRNA from 1 species